rnacentral:rRNA from 1 species
UUUCGAAUCAUUCACAAUGGGCGCAAGCCUGAUGGUGCGACGCCGCGUGAGGGACGAAGGCCUUCGGGUCGUAAACCUCUGUCACUAGGGAAGAAACGCUUCAUUUUAAUAGAAUGAAGCCUGACUUAACCUGGAGAGGAAGCAGUGGCUAACUCUGUGCCAGCAGCCGCGGUAAUACAGAGACUGCAAGCGUUAUUCGGAUUCACUGGGCGUAAAGGGUGCGCAGGCGGCCAGGUGUGUCAGAUGUGAAAGCCCGAGGCUUAACCUCGGAAUUGCGUCUGAAACUACCUGGCUAGAGUAUUGGAGAGGGUAACGGAAUUCACGGUGUAGCAGUGAAAUGCGUAGAUAUCGUGAGGAACACCAGAGGCGAAGGCGGUUACCUGGACAAUUACUGACGCUCAGGCACGAAAGCAUGGGGAGCAAAAGGGAUUAGAUACCCCCGUAGUCC